rnacentral:rRNA from 1 species
UACAGGGGGUGCAAACGUUGCUCGGAAUCAUUGGGCGUAAAGCGCACGUAGGCGGUUCGUUAUGUCGGAUGUGAAAGCCCUCGGCUUAACUGAGGAAGUGCAUCCGAAACUGGCAGGCUAGAGUACCAAAGAGGGUCGCGGAAUUCCCGGUGUAGAGGUGAAAUUCGUAGAUAUCGGGAGGAACACCGGUGGCGAAGGCGGCGACCUGGGUGGAUACUGACGCUGAGGUGCGAAAGCGUGGGGAGCAAACAGG